UGAGAUGUAGCCAAGUGGUAAGGCAUCAGGCUUUGAACCUGAUAUGCGCAGGUUCGAAACCUGCCAUCUCAG
rnacentral:tRNA from 1 species